rnacentral:rRNA from 1 species
GUCUAUGGCCAUGCCACCCUGAAUGUACCUGAUCUCGUCUGAUCUUGGAAGCUAAACAGGGCCGGGCCUGGUUAGUACUUGGAUGGGAGACCACCUAGGAAGACCAGGUGCUAUUGGUG